rnacentral:rRNA from 1 species
AGUAAUGUAAUCUUAAAUAGCUAUUUCGUUAGCUUUUAAUUAAAUAUUACUAGGUAUACCAUUAAGGAUAAGCUUAAGGGUCUAGUUGGGUUUAAUAUAAUUAAAUAAGUUGUGUGGGCUUAAAAUCAGCUAUCACAAAAGUUUGUUACAAAAUAACUAUUAUAUCAAUAAAAAAUUUAUAUGUUUAAUGCCAGUUAUUAAUGAAGAUAAAAUCAAGAACUAAUAAUGAAUUCUGCCUAUGCUAAGAUGAGUAUUACAAUUUUUAUUUAAAUGGAAUAAAUUAUAUUUUCCUCCAUUAUAUCAUAAUUUAACUAUAUUAAGUGAAUGAAAGGAACUCGGCAAAAUGAUACGCUCCGCCUGUUUAUCAAAAACAUGGCUCCUCGAAUCUUUAGUAUGAGGAGUCAGACCUGCCCAGUGAAAAAUUUUAACGGCCGCGGUACUCUGACCGUGCAAAGGUAGCAUAAUCAUUUGCCUUAUAAUUGAAGGCUAGUAUGAAUGGUUUAACGUGAGCAAAACUGUCUCUCUUUCAUUUCUUAAAAAUUAACCUUUAGGUGAAGAGGCCUAAAUUUUAUUAAAGGACAAGAAGACCCUGUCGAGCUUAAAAUCGAUAAUAGAAGUUAAUAUCACAUAGAAAUAAAUAAAUCUAUUUAGUUUUUUAGUUGGGGCGACUGAGGAACAAAUAAAGCUUCUUUUAAAAUAAUAAGCUAAAUAGCAUUGAUCCAGUACAUAACUGAUCAAAAGAAUUAGUUACCGCAGGGAUAACAGCAUAAUCUCUCUUGAGAGACCUAAUCGAAAGAGGGGGUUGUGACCUCGAUGUUGGACUAGAAUAUCCGGAAGAUGCAGACGUCUUCAAAGGUUGGUCUGUUCG